GAGAGGCAGAGACACCGGCAGAGGGAGAAGCAGGCUCCGUCCAGGAAGCCCAACGUGGGACUCCAUCCCGGGUCUCCAGGAUCACGCCCUGGGCCGAAGGUGGCACUAAACCGCUGAGCCACUCGGACUGCCCCCUCCAGCAGUUUCUAAGCCCCAUAUGCCAACAGACCUGUGCCGGAAAGACAAGAUUCAGUAAAGCAAUGGAGAGACUGCAAGCAGGUUGAAGGUGAAGACAUGGAGGUGACAAAAGCACACUAAAUGUACAAGAAUCUUGGCUUCAGAGGAGAAAAUACAUCAUUUCAUUAAGUAUCGCGCAUCUCAGGAAACCAAUAUCCAGUAGUUGCUGUCUAAAUACCAAAACCUUCUGCACGUGAGAUAUCAGGUUCAAUGUUUUCACUUCCUCCCAGGUAUACAGUGACUCACGGGAUGAAGCAGGAGCACAGUGCACUGAUGGAAACAACUAUAAAGUGGUGUUUAUGAAGUUGAAGUUGCCUAGACAAGGAUAUAAUGGGCUAUGCAGAAAGUGGUAACUACAACAAGCCCUGGAACAUUAUCUAUCAACAGGAGGCAGAAUCAUUCCAAUUGAAGCAGAAUUAAAAGAUGAGCUUUUGAAGUGUGAUUGACAGAUAGUUGGAUUAGAUAGUUCCCUCCUCCAUCAUAACCUCUUUCCAAGAGUUUUGGCAAUAAGGUAAAGAGAAAAAUUGGACCAAGCCUGGAGAAAGGUGUCUGAAACAAUGGACUACUGUAUAAUACUCAAAAUCAAAGGAAGAGGUUUUUGUAAGAGGACUCAAUGAGAUUUGAGCCAUGACUAAGGCUACAUCUAUCAUGAAUAAUUGGCUCACAGAAUUUUCACUUUUUAACUGGUUAUCUUAGUGCUCUCCACUAAAUUUAUUUGUUUCAUCAUGCAUCUCAAUCCUGGAGAAUAACAUUACUGUACCUAGAUUAUAAAUGUUUUAUGGAAAUAAAUCUUUUCAAAAUACUCAGAAAA